UUCAGCCUUCUACCAGUAAUUUAUUGGAGUGUCAUGUGUCAACACCGGCUACCACGUCACGCAGGCAGUUGUCACAUCGCAAUAUUUUUGUGGCUCUUGGGUGUGUGCAUUCUUUUUAUGUGUUGUGCUACUUAUGUGGAUUAUUAGGUGAUAUUCUUCCUACAACGGAUAGUGAUCCCAUACUGCCAAGAUGCCGAAAUCGAUACUUAGUUACAUAAGUAACGCGCUUGAUCUAAGUGGCAGCGAGAAUGAGUUGGUUAGUUUU